rnacentral:rRNA from 1 species
UGGGGAAUUUUGGACAAUGGGCGCAAGCCUGAUCCAGCCAUGCCGCGUGCGGGAAGAAGGCCUUCGGGUUGUAAACCGCUUUUGUCAGGGAAGAAAUCUUCUGAGUUAAUACCUCGGGAGGAUGACGGUACCUGAAGAAUAAGCACCGGCUAACUACGUGCCAGCAGCCGCGGUAAUACGUAGGGUGCAAGCGUUAAUCGGAAUUACUGGGCGUAAAGCGUGCGCAGGCGGUUUUGUAAGACAGAGGUGAAAUCCCCGGCGUCAACCUGGGAACUGCCUUUGUGACUGCAAGGCUUGAGUGCGGCAGAGGGGGAUGGAAUUCCGCGUGUAGCAGUGAAAUGCGUAGANAUGUGGAGGAAUACCGAUGGCGAAGGC